UGAUAGUGAUCCAUUUGCAAUUUUAACUUUUAAAUUUUUAACAUAGAGUUAAUAGGAUGAGAACAAAUGAUAGGAAUCGAUCAUAUGAUCAGAAGCAUCUAAAUCAAUUAUCCAUGGUGAUUUGGAAUGAGACAUGGUAUUUAAGCUUGUCAAAAAAUUCCGUCAAUGGGCUAACGAGCCAAAAGGGAUACAUGUGGAAGAAGCCAAUACCUCGGUUAGCACGUUGUGGAAAAAUUACCUCGGGCCUUGGAAGUGCUUUUCCCCCGAAUGGCGAUCCAGCAAUUUGGAGCCGAAGGGCGUCGUCGUCGCGAAAGAGGUCAGGUUCAGUGUUUUGACACUAGAUUCGGCCUCCCGAUAGAGUGAAGAAGGCGAUCAACAUCCUUGUUUGUUGAGUAUCCCAAAUGACCACUAUGGUUGCAUCUGCCGCCAGAUGAUGGCUGCAACUCGAGGCGAACUUGGCUCAUCGACGUUUGAAUGGCCGAGUUUUGUCGUGGAUGUUCCAGGGUUUUUUGGCUCACGGAGCUUUAACUGCUAAAUCAAGGGCUUUCCGUUUGACAGCAUGUACUGGCACCUUCAUCGGAGCUAGCUGAUGGAACUUCCGAGAAGGCAUCGACUGCGACAACUUGGGGCUCACUCUCUCGUGCUUGCUUGGAGAGGGUUUUGGCGAGGAAGGAAUAAUCCUUGAUGAUGAUGACGAUGACGACAGCGAUGACAAUGAGAAUGACGAUGAGGAAAUUGAAGCUUCGCGACACAAGAUCGAGCGGCCUCUAAGAAUUCCAACCCAAUCAUCAUCGGGCAAAGCAGCCAAGAUGCCAAAUCUGUGCCGACGUCACCAGUCCAGAAGAUGUCUACGUCGAGCUCGUCGCCACCGCCGCCACCGACUGCGGUUUUUGAUUGAGAUAGAGAGCGGACGUCGAGGAAUCGAUCGGACGAAGGAGCUUUGCUAUUGACGGCGCCAUCUGCCAUUACUAACUAAGGUUAAUGUGGAGUAUACAAUUACCGCAGCAAAAGAAGGGAAAAUGGAUAUUGAUGGAAAUUUUGUUUGACAAAUUUGCAGCAUACUGGGAAAAUUUUUUGUGUUGGAAGUAUUGAGUGUAACAUAUACAGCCCUGUAAGGUUAUUUCAUGUACAUCUUUCCACCCUUGAGAUAGCAUGAGAGAAGCAACCAUUGUAUCAUCUUGAAAUAGCUAUCCUCGUAGGUUCCAAGCUCCUCUCUCGUUGUUGAUUGAAAAAUAUCACCAACUCCUGAAGCUCAGAUAUCUCAAAAGAUCAGCUUCCUCUCCUUCCCAUAUCCCAAUUGAGUCUUGUAUCAAGUUGCCUUCUUCUCAGAAGCACUCUGAUCACUUCUAGCAAUAUGGUAUGGGAAGCUGCUAGCAUUCGUAGUGACGAUCGAUUUAUCCGGUACUUAAUCCAGUAUUUUCUCACCAGUUGAAAAGAGGUUCCAGACCACAGUUCCGACCAAAUAGAGCCCAACUGAAACCUUGAAGACAUCAUCCCAAGAACCUGAGAGAGGAAAAAGUUAUGUAUAAUGAAUUUGACCUCCUUGUUGGAUCAUAAUUAUUUCAAGUUGCAGUAUGAAAGUUCCUUGAUUGUCA